CACACACACACACACACACACGUACGCACUCACGCACACGCGCUCACAAAAUGGCUGACCAAAGUUGUGACGCAGUUUGACCGAACAUUCCGAACCGAAAGUACGAGAAAUACCAGUCCCAGGUCCGACACAACGGGGCGGGUGGCUCCUUCCCUCAAAAUCAGCUAAAUGUCUCUAAGUUAAGGAAGUCAACUCGUCGGCGCUAGCACCCGACUUCCUCCCAAGCUUCGCAACACGAUGUCUAGCAGUUACAAGAUCAAACCUUUGCUACAAUGGUUUCCCCAGAUAUCUGAGCACCGGAAGAGCCAAGACCUAACUUACUGAACUUUUAUUCCCUCAUGUACCGUCAAAUGCAGUGGAAAAACCCACAUACACCAUGGUAGUAAAGCAUAAAGGAAGGAAGAAUUAAAUACAAGUAGAGAAUUACAAAAAGAGAGACACACUGCAAAACUUUCCCCUGACGUUUUGGAUUUGGGAUUGCCAACUGAGCCCUGGGAUACACCGCCACCUCCUCCUCCUUCUUCCAAUAUUUUUUUUUCAGAAAACUUUAAAACAGUUUCAAAACCUCAAGCCCACCUUCCAAAGAUACAGAUUUGUCAAUCACGAGAAUACACUUUUUUUUAUACCUCUCUAAGUCUCCUUACAAUGAAGACACAAGAGGCAGACAUAAAUUAGAUAAUCACCUUGACCAGAAUAUUAUCUCAUACAAUGCUUGUUUUGUAGGAAAUAUGAUAUACAGACUGUGCUAAGUAUACUAAGACAUUAUUUUGUCAUCCUGUACCACCAGGAUGCUGUGGACACUGCACUGGACAGUCUCUGGGCAUUCACUUAAGCAUAGGACCUGUUAUGAAGAUAAAGAUCAAGCAAGGAGUGCUGAGUGCUUCUCCUCUCAAGACCAAGCACCUGCUGGAACAGUCACAGACGAGCAUUUCUGAGCAAGAACUCUUGAUAGGAAAGCAAAGGUCCAAAAGAAAAAGAAAGAUAAGAAAGGAGGUUAAUAAGUUGCCUAAACCUUUUCCUUAAUGAAUUAGAUAUCCAACUGUGAAACUGCAACAUAGGAGAACUGCUUAAGCCCAGCAAAGGGGAUAACCCUGUCAGCCCAGCACUGGAGAUUGACAGGCAGAAGGGUCAGAAAUUCAAGACAGAGUUCAAGGCCAGCCUGUACUAUGUGAAACCUGUCUCAAAAAGAAAACAAACAAGGAGAAUAGCUUAACCUGGUGGUCCUCAAGCUCUUAAAUUUCAAGCCCUUUUCUACUCCAAUAAUUUAGUAAAUCCUCUGAAAAUCGCUUAAUAUACUAAAUCUGUGGUAUGUACCAUUUUAGGAAUUGAAGUGAUGUAUUAAAAUUGUAAUCUGAUAGUUGAAA